rnacentral:rRNA from 1 species
GACGAACGCUGGCGGCGUGCCUAAUACAUGCAAGUCGAACGAACCGCGACUAGGUGCUUGCACUUGGUCAAGGUGAGUGGCGAACGGGUGAGUAACACGUGGGUAACCUACCUCAUAGUGGGGGAUAACAGUCGGAAACGACUGCUAAUACCGCAUAGGACAUGGGAUCACAUGAUUCUGUGAGGAAAGGUGGCGCAAGCUAUCGCUAAGAGAUGGACCCGCGGUGCAUUAGCUAGUUGGUAGGGUAACGGCCUACCAAGGCGAUGAUGCAUAGCCGACCUGAGAGGGUGAUCGGCCACAUUGGGACUGAGACACGGCCCAAACUCCUACGGGAGGCAGCAGUAGGGAAUCUUCCGCAAUGGACGCUAGUCUGACGGAGCAACGCCGCGUGAGUGAAGAAGGUCUUCGGAUCGUAAAGCUCUGUUGUUAGAGAAGAACAGCGCAUAGAGUAACUGUUAUGCGUGUGACGGUAUCUAACCAGAAAGCCACGGCUAACUACGUG